rnacentral:rRNA from 1 species
AGUUCGGAUUGAAGGCUGAAAUUCGCCUUCACGAAGCCGGAAUUGCUAGUAAUGGCAGGUCAGCAUACUGCCGUGAAUACGUUCCCGGGCCUUGUACACACCGCCCGUCACACCAUGGGAGUCGGGAAUGCCCGAAGUCAGUGACCCAACCGGAAGGAGGGAGCUGCCGAAGGCAGGCUCGAUAACUGGGGUGAAGUCGUAACAAGGUAUC